GACGAACGCUGGCGGCGUGCUUAACACAUGCAAGUCGAACGGAAAGGCCCUGCUUUUGUGGGGUGCUCGAGUGGCGAACGGGUGAGUAACACGUGAGUAACCUACCCUUGACUUUGGGAUAACUUCAGGAAACUGGGGCUAAUACCGGAUAGGAGCUCCUGCUGCAUGGUGGGGGUUGGAAAGUUUCGGCGGUUGGGGCUGGUCUCGCGGCUUAUCAGCUUGUUGGUGGGGUAGUGGCUUACCAAGGCUUUGACGGGUAGCCGGCCUGAGAGGGUGACCGGGCACAUUGGGACUGAGAUACGGCCCAGACUCCUACGGGAGGCAGAAGGGGGGAAUAUUGCACAAUGGGCGGAAGCCUGAUGCAGCGACGCCGCGUGCGGGAGGACGGCCUUCGGGGUGUAAACCGCUUUCGCCUGUGACGAAGCGUGAGUGACGGUAAUGGGUAAAGAAGCACCGGCUAACUACGUG
rnacentral:rRNA from 1 species